GGCUUCAUAGCUCAGUGGUAGAGCAUAUUUACACCGGUAUAUCCAACCUCGUUCCCAGGGCUUUUCCUAAUUUAGAAGGGAAAAGCCCUGGGAACGAGGUUGCGGUAUAUCGCAAGGAACAUUGGUUUGAAUCCCGUUGAAGCUCCA